rnacentral:rRNA from 1 species
AACGCGAAGAACCUUACCAGGGCUUGACAUGGGCAAGUCGCGUCCAGAGAUGGGCGUUCCCGCAAGGGCUUGCCGCACAGGUGCUGCAUGGCUGUCGUCAGCUCGUGUCGUGAGAUGUUGGGUUAAGUCCCGCAACGAGCGCAACCCUCGCCUUUAGUUGCCAGCACGUUUGGGUGGGCACUCUAAAGGAACUGCCGGUGACAAGCCGGAGGAAGGUGGGGAUGACGUCAAGUCCUCAUGGCCCUUAUGUCCUGGGCUACACACGUGCUACAAUGGCGGUGACAGUGGGACGCCAGGCCGUGCUGAUCCCCAAAAGCCGUCUCAGUUCAGAUUGCACUCUGCAACUCGGGUGCAUGAAGGUGGAAUCGCUAGUAAUCGCGGAUCAGCACGCCGCGGUGAACUACGUUCCCGGGCCUUGUACACACCGGUAUCUC